AACAAGCUUGCUUGUUGGGGUUGUAGGACACUCUAUACGGAGUUACAAAGGACGACAUUAGACGAAUCAUCUGGAAAGAUGAAUCAAAGAAGGUAAUAAUCCUGUAGUCGAAAAUGUUGUCUCUCUUGAGUGGAUCCUGAGUACGACGGAGCACGUGAAAUUCCGUCGGAAUCUGGGAGGACCAUCUCCUAAGGCUAAAUACUCUCUAGUGACCGAUAGUGAACCAGUACCGUGAGGGAAAGGUGAAAAGCACCCCGGAAGGGGAGUGAAAUAGAACCUGAAACCGUGUGCUUACAAGUAGUCAGAGCCCGUUAAUGGGUGAUGGCGUGCCUUUUGUAGAAUGAACCGGCGAGUUACGAUUUGAUGCAAGGUUAAGCAGUAAAUGUGGAGCCGUAGCGAAAGCGAGUCUGAAUAGGGCGUUUAGUAUUUGGUCGUAGACCCGAAACCAGGUGAUCUACCCUUGGUCAGGUUGAAGUUCAGGUAACACUGAAUGGAGGACCGAACCGACUUACGUUGAAAAGUGAGCGGAUGAACUGAGGGUAGCGGAGAAAUUCCAAUCGAACCUGGAGAUAGCUGGUUCUCUCCGAAAUAGCUUUAGGGCUAGCCUCAAGUGAUGAUUAUUGGAGGUAGAGCACUGUUUGGACGAGGGGCCCCUCUCGGGUUACCGAAUUCAGACAAACUCCGAAUGCCAAUUAAUUUAACUUGGGAGUCAGAACAUGGGUGAUAAGGUCCGUGUUCGAAAGGGAAACAGCCCAGACCACCAGCUAAGGUCCCAAAAUAUAUGUUAAGUGGAAAAGGAUG
rnacentral:rRNA from 1 species